ACAGCAGUAGCCACGGUAAUACGGAGGGUGCAAGCGUUAUCCGGAUUUAUUGGGUUUAAAGGGUCCGUAGGCGGAUCUGUAAGUCAGUGGUGAAAUCUCACAGCUUAACUGUGAAACUGCCAUUGAUACUGCAGGUCUUGAGUAAAUUUGAAGUGGCUGGAAUAAGUAGUGUAGCGGUGAAAUGCAUAGAUAUUACUUAGAACACCAAUUGCGAAGGCAGGUCACUAAGAUUUAACUGACGCUGAUGGACGAAAGCGUGGGGAGCGAACAGGAUUAGAGACCCCCGUAGUCCCUGUCUCUUAUAC
rnacentral:rRNA from 1 species